CUAUGAUUCUAUGAUGCCAAGCAAAUGUGGUGCUACAAAAGUGCUGCAAGCAAAUUGCUUUUAAAAGCACAAAAGCGUAUAAUUUCUCCAAGUGGUGGUUCUAAUAGCAAUGACAGACAGCUCUGCCAUAGCCCAUGGCAGUGGAUAUUCAGCGUGGCAACAACAUACUUUCUGGUUCUUUGAAUUAUGCUGCACAUGGUGGCCCUGGAGCUACGUGUGGAAUGGCUGUGGUGUGAGCUGAUGGGCUAUUUUGUGCCUCGGAUGCAGAGUUUUUAUGAUGGCCGAUACUCUGAAGCUCGUUCAGGCAAUAAAUUUACUUGCCUUUGAGUUUACAAGGCAAUAAACAGUUGAGGCCUUUGACCUCAACAUUUACCAAAUACAUUUGCAGCAGUUGUGUUUAUUGACGACUAUUUAUAGGGAAGUAUUUUAUACCAAAUUUCACGUGUGAAACAGAACAGCUUAACUUUGCAGUGCUUAAUUCUUUCUGAUUCCUGCCUCUGCUUCCUCUCUUUGAUUUACUUCACUGGGAGAAGUUGCAGAUUGAUGCUGCAAAAGGUUCUGUUACGGACUGCAACAAAUAAUCUAACCCCCACUUUUUAGAACCUCGUCCAUCUUUAUGUGGCUGAGAUAAAGCUGCAUCUGUGUUACAUUUUGCAAGGCUAUUUGUAUAAGAUACAAAUGCAUUUGGGUUACGAAUCCCACUCACUGCGUGUCACAGAGGCAGUCAGUUGCCACGAUGGGUUGCCCAUAGCCAUGAGUUUGCUCUGAUUUCCAUCAUGGGUUAAAUGAAAGACUGACAGGCCUGGAGUUUACUGGAAAGGCAACAGCACUUUCAUCCCUUCCUGCAACUGUAGGCUGAGCUCAUACGAGGUGCACCUGAGUAACUGUUCCCCAAGCAACCCUGCUUUUGGAGCUGCCACUUUUUAAAUUGCAUUGGCCCCAGUCCAGCAAAAUACUUGAGUUAAUGUUUAAUUUCAGGCAUGAAGCAUGGGACUUCAGUGUGACUGCUCGUAAGCUUAAAGAUAAGCACAUGCUCAAGUUCCUUGCUGGAAAAUGGCCAGCAUGCUUUUUAUCUUGCAGGAUUGAGCCUGUAAGGUACUCAUUGCAAUCUGCUGAGAUCUUCUUGCUUGACUUCUUGCAGAAAAAUGGUUUCAGAUGCUGGGGAGUUAUGGUCAUUCACCUGUGAAUGGCUGACCAGAUUCUUGCCCCAUGCAAGUUGCUUCAUGCUACUUUUCAGCAAGAUAGGCUGAAGAGUUUGCAUCAGGAAAUCUGUAGUCUUUUUGCAACUGGACUUUUUUCUUCUAGAGGUAGUUAUACUAACAUAUCACAGAAUCACAGGGAUUCUGCUGGAAGGGACAUCAAGAGAUCACUGAGUCCAACCUCCUGCAAAGCAGGUCCCUACAGUAUGUUGCACAGGUUGGUGUCCAGCUGGCUCCUGAAUGUUUCCAUAGGAGACUUCACCACCUCUCUGGGCUGUUCCAGAGCUUCAUCUCCCUGACCAUAGAGAAGUUCUUCUGCAUAUUAGUAUGGAACUUCCUUUGUUCAGUAUUGGGUCACUGUGAGGUCACGGCUUGAACUGCUGAUGGAGCACCUGGUGCGGGAGUGCAGCUGGCCCAGGGUGCAGAGGCACCUUGUUUGCACCUGUGCUCCCUAGGGGACCAGAGGGGCUGGACCCAGAGUAGAGCCCCUGCUGGGCUCAUAUAAGGGCCAGCCACGGGAGGAGAUCUCUUGGACUUGGGCUGCUUCUUGGGAAGGAGAGCUGCAUAGCUGGAGAUCCCCUUCACCAGUAGGGUUAGCUGGCCACCAUCAGCAACUUACUCUCACAGUGGUUAAGUCAACAGUGACUGAGACAACAGAGCCCAGAUAUUGACAGAGGCUUGAAACCAGUUGUCUCAACCUGAUGAUAACUAGGAGCCCGAACAGCCACAUUUCUGCUCACUUAGAAGUUUGGAAGCAUUCGGACGUGUAUUUCCAUGUGACCUCUGACCACCUAACAGAUUGCUUUGAGGGCUAAGGAAGUCAGAGGACCGUCGCCAUGUGGAAGACCCCUGCCUAACUGACAUCCAGAACUCGGAGUGGCUCCAGUAGAAGAUAUUACAGCCUUGACCUGCCUCUACCAGGCCUUGCCUUGUGUCAUGGCUUUGAGAGGUUGUGCACAACUGACAGUGUCCACACCUGAGUGAAGCUUUCUUUAAAUGCCUUCAAGUUUUGGAAUACCAAGAGUGCCUUAAGACAGAAUGGUUGUUGCCUGGUGCUUCUGAAGGAAUUAACAUCUGAUUGAACUCCGUGCAUGCAGAGAAGACAGUGCUCCCAUCAAAUAUUGGUGUUGCAUCUCAGCACACAGCCACAUCUCAGACAUAUGGAGCAGCCUCUUUGGGCAGGAGGGACCAGGGAGCAGACCUCAGUGAUGGCUGCCUCUCCCACAGGCAGGACGGGGUGCUCUUGCUUCUACAGCAAUGCAUGGAAGAUUUUGUUUGUUUAAUUCUCCUGCGAGGCUGUUAUAUGAAUUUUUCCUUGUUCCUUCAUUUGGCUCUUGAUGAGGUGAGAGCUGCAGCGAUGGCAUCUAGAGACUCUUGUUUGCAAUAACAUCACUCUACAGUGCAGUCUGGUGAGGAGGACCAUAAGGCUCUACGUGGCCAUAUGCACUGACACACCAACACCACGAUGUCGAAAUACAAACGGGAAAGACUUCACAUCUGCCUGUUCUCCCGAGUAAAGGACCUACCAGAAACCUCCCUUGGAAAAGCUGAGGAGACACUAAUUAAAAGAAUACUGUAUGUCCCUGAUGAGGGACUGCUGACAAAGAAGAGCUAACUCCACGAGUCAUUGGAGCAGCUCCUUACAAAGAUGCAAGAUGUAGCAGAUCUAGUCUGGAAAUCACCUUCAUUGCUGAAAGACCACCACUGCCCUCCAAGAGACACAACGGAGGGCACAAAGAAGAACAAUGCUACUUUUUUUUCUGGAUGAGGAGGUGAGCUCGAGCCUCUCCCUGGAAGAGAGGGCUGGCAGCGGCGCUGAGCUGGGAUGUGGAGGCUGCACAGGGGCCCAUUGGCUGAAGCACGCAUUAUUCCAGACCUGAUGUCAUUCAUCUAUCUGAGUUUGCCCCCAUGCAAGUCAAGACUUCUCCUUGAGGGCACCCGAACCAGAAUCACGUUCCCAAUCUGUGCAGAAGCCAUGCUGUCUGCCUCUGGGAGGCAGCAAGUGGAAGGUAAGGGCUCAAGCAGCUCUCACACAGGACACCACAAGUCCCCUGCUGUCCUUGUAGGUCUUGGUGGCCUCAAGGGAGCUCAACCCCUUUCAUGUUCCCCAAAGAAGGAGUUCAGCUUACCCAAACCAUCCUGCAUGCAGUGAAGAACUCAGCCCUCCUCUAGGAUGAUCCCUGGCUAUGGGACAGUUGGACCCUCUGCACAGUAAUAAUUAGCAGACAAAUCCUGCUGACUCAGGAAACUCAUCUAAGGGUUUGUUUGUGUGUUUGUUGUUUUUAUGAGAAGGCCCAUAUGCCUUUCAGAUUUUGUUAUUUUCAGAGUUGAUGAUCUGAGGAACAGAAUGAAGAGCUGACAUUGUUGGUUGUUUUCUUGGCCUGUUUUAUACAGCAGAUGUAUGCUGGUAGAAGGGCUACAGCUCAUUACUUUAUUUAUUCUGGUGGAGUUUUGUUGCAAAGACAAUAGGUCAGAUCAUGACACAGGAAGAAAAAAGAUAGCUUUGGAACUGGUGGGUACUGUUCAUCUACCAGUGCUCCCUUCACACACUGGUCAGAAUCCAAGAGGUAAUAUGGGAAUUUCUGAAUGUACUUAAAGUUUAUGAGACUGCCUGCCUGAAUGCAUGCACGUGUGUGGAGUGGAACAAGGAUCCCCAGCAUAAUACUUAAUCAAAAUCCAGUUUUACCAGUGAUAUAAGACAGAUAAAGCACUAAGUACAGUCCUCAGGAUCUGCCCCUUCAGCUUAUGCACUGUACAUGGCAUACACAGUACCUGCCAAUACACGUGGUGUGGGAUUUACCCUGAAACCCUGAUGGUGUCCUGGAUUUUCCAAGCCAGAGCCUUGUUUUAAAUCUUGCCUGGUGAUGUAUGUAUUUGAUGGUCUCAGGAGCAGAUCUAGCUCAAUGCUGGUUUCUUUCUAGGGUAUGAAAAUUCUCUCUACCAUACAGUGCCUUUUGAAUCUGAUUCUUACUCGGAAAUGUGUGCUCGCUCACAGUGUUUAAGAAAUGGGCAAUGGAGUUUGAGCCACAACUUUAUCAGCAGAGAGCACAGGUAUCUAAGUGUCUGCUGAAUCGUGCGCCUUCUUUCAGCACUCUCUUCCUGCUGAAUAGCCCACAUCUAGUGUUGUUUUUAUCAGGUUUUUGAGAUUAGGACUCUCCCUUUUGCUAGCUGAGAUCCCCAUAAAUGAGAACAAGCAACCUCAUUUUCUAACUCUGUUCCUAAACUGAUCAGGGUGUAGCCUCAGAGUUCUGGUGCUUCUCUUGGGGUGCUGUUUGUGAACUCCUCUACCAUGGUCCACGGAAAUCCUUAUUCCCUCCUUCCUCCCAGCCACAGUGCCAUCGCUGAGCUUUCGUUCCCUCCCCCUUCCACUGUCACCAUAUUGAUCCUCGAGGUGACCCCUCCAAGUCGUUGAUCCUCCUGACUCCCCAAGCCAGCCUGCUGAGUUGGUCUUUGCCCAGUUGUUUCUUCUGUUCCCUGUGCACCUUUUCACCAGUUUUCCACUCGUAUCCCAGUUUGCAUUGAUGUCAAAUACGAAUGGGCAGGGAAGGCUUGAGGAGGAAGCAAUCACUAGUGCCCUACACAGUGGUAAUGACAUCUGAUGAACUUACUUCUGUCUGCGUCCUGACAAGUAGGAUGUUCCCCUUUUCCUGGUGUUGAUGAUGUCUUUUAACUCUGCACCUCAGCAAAUAUGGUUGGAAAUGCUCCGACGGUUUUCAGCAACGCUGGCAGAGGCAGUGUUAAAUGCAGUCAUUCCAUGGCUGAUGUUGAGAAUUCCUCCAGUAAACUCCCUUCAGCUCAGUUCUUCUGUCAGUACAACUUGCUAUCAUCUCCAUUUUAGCCAAUUUAUUAUCCCCCUUACAACUCUUGUCUUAUCUUCUCCAGUUUAACUAGUAAUUUUGUGUGCCAACAUAUCAAUGAUAUUAAAUGAUAUCUGGGUAGAGUAGCCUGGCACAAAUGCCUGUCAUUGCCAAUCCCAGAUCUGAAGUUUGUCCCUGAUGUCACAUUAUUCCACAGCUUUCUUUAUCCUUCACCCAGUAUUUCAUCUGAAGUCUUGCAUAAUAUUGACACUGGUGAUAUGACCCUGAGAUCAAGUCCAAUCAAGCUGAACUCAGUGAGUCCCUUCCAACCUGGGAUAUUCUAUGAUUCUACAAUUUUCUCCUUAAAUAAAGGCACCCACCAAAUCCUUUUUUCUCUAACGCAUCCGUUUCAGUAUAAUAGAUCCUAUUAUCAAAUUUGCAAUUCCACAUGUUCCUACUUGCACUGUUCACAGCUGGAUCGACAUUACUUCCUCCCAGCUCAACCACGUUCAACAUUUCACUUUGUUUCGGUCAGCUUCUGUAUUUCUUCUUGAAGUGCCACACAGUCUGCAAUGUACCAAAUGCAGCUACAAAGAUGGAUCUUUACCUUUAUACGCUCAGUUUUUCACUUCUUUCCUGACUACAAACACGAUGGGGUUUUCUGCAGCCAGGUGGAACUCUCCGCUGUGUCCACAUUGGCAAAGAGAGCAGCUGAAUCCAGGGCAACCCUACUGACAUGAAGAUGAGCCUGUAUAUAUGGUACAUACAGGCUACGCACUAUUUUCUUCUUCUCUUGGGGAUGCUUUUGCAAGAUGAGGGGAAGGUUUGUUCUUCAGCUGCAGCCUUCUUUGUUGGCAUUUUUUACGCCCUUGUUGCAGAGAAGUAAGACACCAGAACUUCUAAAACGAAAGGGCUCAGAGAUUAUUGGAGCAAUGCUUGGUCCCCAGACCUCCUUCUCUGAAACAGGUGAGUCAUUCUGGCUGAUACUAAAAAGAAAACAAUAAAAAAACCCUCUUUCCCACACACAAAGCAGCCCUGAGGCACACGAUUAGCAGGAGGUAUUUCACUCGCAUGGCUGGAGUAGGGCAGCAUGUUAAGCAACCGAAGCCAUAUUCUUACAAUAGGAAGCAUUUAAUCAUCUUUGUAACAGAUAGUAGCGCUGUCUGUACUUUGAGCAGAGCUUUUGUUAUGCUAAAUGUUAUUCACUGGCUUUAUUCUGAGAAUAUGUGUAAGUGUUGGCAGGACCAGUGACCCAUGUAACUGUAAUGCAAUGGGUUGCUAUAAAACAAAUGAGAGCAAUGUAAGGUUUGGUUCAGGCAGUCUCACUGAAGGUAACACUGGUGAAUCUGGUAGCUGGAGCUGCGGGUCCUGUGUGGGACAAACUCCCCAUCUGUCAUCUUCCAAUCUUCCAUUAGGAAAUUUGCUGUAGAAAAAUAAUCUUUAAAACAUCUGGGUUUUUCCCAAUUUUUUCCAUUUUUUAAG